UGGGGGCUUAGCUCAGCUUGGUAGAGCACUUGGUUUGGGACCAAGGGGUCGCAGGUUCGAAUCCUGUCUUCCCGA
rnacentral:tRNA from 1 species